UUCCUUCAUCUAUGACUCCCUUGGGCCUGACCCGCCGAAAGAAGCCAGCAGGUCAUGAUUUUGGCUUCUGAAAUGCCUCUAAUUACUGCCCAGCUGCAUGUUUGGGACUCCAUCAAACAUAAGCAUCAGAGCCAUUAUCCUGAGAACCUGGACUAGCCCGGGGACAUGAGCCUAUGUUUGAGCCCUGUUUUGUGAUAGCAAAGAUUGAACACCAUCUAACGGACCAUCUAAAGAGCACCUGUCAAAUGAACUGUCGUGGGACUACAUAAACACUCCACAGCUACAAAUGAGUGAGGAAGUUCUCAGUAAACUGAGAGAGAAUGAUUGCCGAUAAAAUGCAAAACUUGUGUAUGUAGUUGGCUGCAUUUUGUGUAAGGGCUGGGGAAUGAGUGUAUUUUCCUCUUUGUUUGUAUUCGUAUAAAGGAACACUGGAAGGAUACU